GCUUCCUUAGUACAACUGGUAGUACAUGGGUCCUUCCAAUCAUAUUUGAUAUAACCUCCUAAGAUGCGGGUUCGAAUCCCUCAGGAAGCC